rnacentral:lncRNA from 1 species
AGAAAACAAAUAAAAAAAUAAAGAUCAAGAGAGGGGGAGGAGGCUAGGGAUGACUAAGGUAGGAGAAAAGAGAGUUAAAGGCUAAUGUGGGGCUCCAUAGCUCGGGUUUAACGACCAGACUGGGUAUGGGGAGUUACACCCAAAACACAAGUACUAUUUUAGGAAAAAGUUUAUUGUUAUAAAUAUCACAAAACGACUCGAUUUUCAAAAUCUUAUUUUUCCACUGUUCAAGAAAACAAUUCUCGAA